rnacentral:rRNA from 1 species
GACGAACGCUGGCGGCGUGCUUAACACAUGCCAGUCGAACGGAAAGGCCCUGCUUUUGUGGGGUGCUCGAGUGGCGAACGGGUGAGUAACACGUGAGUAACCUGACCUUGACUUUGGGAUAACUUCAGGAAACUGGGGCUAAUACCGGAUAGGAGCACCUGCUGCUUGGUGGGGGUUGGAAAGUUUCGGGGGUUGGGGAUGGAAUCGCGGCUUAUCAGCUUGGUGGUGGGGUAGUGGAUUACCAAGGCUUUGACGGGUAGCCGGCCUGAGAGGGUGGCCGGCCACGUUGGGACGGAGAUACGGCCCAGACUCCUACGGGAGGCAGCGGUGGAGAAUAUUGCACAAUGGGCGGAAGCCUGAUGCAGCAACGCCGCGUGCGGGAUGACGGGCUUCGGGUUGUAAACCGCUUUCGCCUGUGACGAAGCGUGAGUGACGGUAAUGGGUAAAGAAGCACCGGCUAACUACGUG